rnacentral:rRNA from 1 species
CACCGCGGUUAUACGAAGGACCCAAGUUGACAGACUCCGGCGUAAAGGGUGGUUAUGGACCUAGACCCCACUAAAGUUAAACGCCCCCCUAAGCAGUUAUACGCUUUUCGGGGGAGGAGGCCCUACUACGAAGGUAACUUUAAUACUCCUCCCGACCCCACGACAGCUACGAAA